GAAACUUGUGAGCAAAACCAAUAAAAUGCAUGACCAAAGAGCUGUAGUAUAAGUAGUUAGCUAAUAUAAAAGGUUGCCAAGAAGAGGUAUAGCCAAGUGGAGUUGACGAGGUAACAUAGUUGUUACCUCACAGUUGUUCCGUUUUGUCGACCUUGUCCAAUAGAUUGCCGGAAGUCGUUGUUAUCAAGACCCCAGUCUGCAGUCUCUUCAAGAUAGUACAGAACAAGAGAACCCCCAUACAGUGAUAUUAUAGCGGAGUAUA
rnacentral:lncRNA from 1 species